rnacentral:lncRNA from 1 species
AUGUCAUCUGUUCACCAGCAAUCAUCAGGUCCUAUUGAAGGAUCUCCGCCUACCUUACCACCUCCUCCACCUCCUCUACCUCCCUUUGCUAUCUCUGGUACAAUUGCCCCUCAAGCUGCAUCCUUACCAUCAUCAGCACCACCACCACUGCCCCCACCCUUACCUGGAAGUGCUUUGUCAAUGUCCCAAUCAUAUGCUUCCAACAGAAACCUUCUGCCUCCAUCCACCUCUACACCACCUCCACCUCCACCUCCACCUAUUAGUUCUAAUAAAGCGCCGUCACCCCCUCCUCCACCACCUCCUCCACCUCUCCCCAAUGUAUCUAAUGGAAAUCCUUUAAUGCCUCCCACUCCUGCUAGUAGAGGUCCUCCACCUCCCCCACCACCUCCCCCUCCUCUCCCUGGUGUCUCCAAUAGUGAUACUUCCAUGCUUGCUGGUAGAGGCCCUUCACCUCCUCCUCCUCCUCCACCUCCACCUCCCACCUCCAUUUCUUCUAAAGGGCCCCCUCCACCCCCUCCACCUCCAGAUUUUUCCUCUUCAUCUAGUAAUAAGCCAACACUGCCACCUCCACCUCCUCCACCACCUGCUCCACCUCUGCCUAUGUUUUCCUCAUCGAGUUCAACAUCUAGAUCUAGUUCAAGUCAUGGGGUGCCACCUCCACAUCCUCCACCUCCUCCACCUUCUUUGGGUUGUAAUCCUAGCAAUGCCACUCAACCACCUCUACCCCCACCUCCACCGCCGCUCCCUCCAGGAUCCGCCCGACAAGCUUCUUGCCCCCCGUCUCCACCACCAGCACCCAAGCCUCCUAGUGCACCCCCACCUCCCCCUCCUCCUCCACCAGCACCCAAGCCUCCUGGUGCACCCCCACCUCCCCCACCUCCACCACCAACAACCAAGCCUCUUGGUGCCCAUCCACCACCACCACCACCACCACCACCCCCUCCAGCACCAAAGCCUCCUGGUGCUCCACCUCCACCACCAAAGCCUCCUAGUGCUCCCCCACCUCCACCACCCAAGCCUCCUGGUGCUCCCCCACCUCCACCACCCAAGCUUCCUGGUGCCCCCGCUCCACCACCAAGUCAUGUCACAGUACCAGGUCCACCCCCACCACCUGGAGCAAAGGGCACCAAUGCACCCCCACCACCACCAACUGGAAGGGGAAG